UGGGGAAUUUUGCACAAUGGAGGAAACUCUGAUGCAGCGACGCCGCGUGAGUGAUGAAGAUCUUCGGAUUGUAAAACUCUGUCCUUAGUGAAGAUAAUGACAGUAACUAAGAAGCAAGCCCUGGCUAAAUACGUGCCAGCAGCCGCGGUAAUACGUAUGGGGCAAGCGUUGUCCGGAAUUAUUGGGCGUAAAGGGUACGUAGGCGGUUUAAUAAGUCCUAAUUAAAAGGCUAUGGCUCAACCAUAGUAUGGUUAGGAAACUGUUGAACUUGAGUAGAUGAGGGGAAAGUAGAAUUCCAUGUGUAGCGGUGAAAUGCGUAGAUAUAUGGAGGAACACCAAUGGCGAAGGCAACUUUCUGGAAUCAAACUGACGCUGAGGUACGAAGGCGUGGGGAGCAAACAGG
rnacentral:rRNA from 1 species